rnacentral:lncRNA from 1 species
AUAAAUGACACUGUCUUCCAGAAUUCCUUUCUUUAACAGAUUUCUUUUUCUUACUUUUUUUCCCCAUGAUCUAGAAACACAUGCCAAGAUUCUCAUGAGUUUUCUUACUUUGUCAUCCAUGUUCUUUUUCUAUUUGUAGGUCAAAGACAAGUGCCUUCUAUGGCAUGGGAAAGGGCUUUAUUCUUAUAAGAGUCUGGCCUGUCUUAACUAGAAGACGGGUAGGAAGGAUACUAGGUAGGCAGCGUUGCUGAACAAUCUAAGUUGUGGUUCUUAGCCUGUCCCAGGAACAGCAGCAUGGGAGGCUAGGAACUUAACAGAAAUGAGGAUUCUUGGUUCUCACCCCAAACCUACUUAAUCAGAAACCCCAGUAAUACAGACCAGAAAACAGUUUUCACAAAUUCCUCAUGUACUUUGAAUAUAACAUAAAGUUCGACAAAAUCUAUUCUAAUGUGGCUUUUUAUGGAGGGUGUAACUGUAAUGUAUUCAAAAUUGUCAGUGUGGUGGCAUCAAAUAUGUAGAGAUGGUCUUUCUGUGGAGAAUUUGUGGAACUUUAGUGUGGAGAACAAAGAAGGAGUUGGAGAUGAAAAAGUGGUACUGUGUCAAGGGAAGAUUUUUGUGAGUUUUCCAUCAUGUUGGCCAUCACAUCCUGACUGAAGUCUCAAGAUUCCUGGAAGUGAAGGAAGACACAAAGCUUAAAACUCAGAUGAGAUGCUCUGACUCCAUCGUGAAGUGGUCACUGAAAAAAAUGUUGCUGGUUUCUUGGGAUGAAAGAACUGAGCCAGCAUCUGAAAAAGAUCAUUUCAUUUAAAAACAAAAACAAAAAACCUUGUCUCUUCUGUAAAAAUCCAACAUUAGGUAGAACUUGCUGUAAUUUAAAAGUCACAAAGUCAUUUAUAAAAAAUGAAGUGAUUAAAUAUUGACCGAGUAUUGUUGAGUAUUGCUAGAGUAGCUAGUUAUCUGGUGAGACUGCUAAUUGAUUCAGUGUAUGAUAGUUCACACGGGAUGAGAACCUUGGCCUUUAUCACCCAAACAAGAACUCUCUAUGAGAUUGGUUGACGUGAGUUGGUUGAGUCUCUGGAGCAUCAGUUUUCAACUUCUGGAUCGCAACCCCUUUGGGGGUGGGUAGGUCACAUAACAGAUAUGCUGACUAACAGAGAUUGCCAUUAUGAUUUAUAACAAUAUCAAAUGUAUAGUUAUGAACUAGUUAUGAAAUAAUCUUAUGGUUGAGGGUCACCACAACAUGAGGAACUAUAUUAAAGACUCGUGGCAUUAGGAAGGUUGAGAACCACUUCUCUAGGGCUCAAUGUAUUAGAUAACUCACUAAGGGGUAAAAUAUGAAAUAUCAAAUCCUAAAAAGGAUAUUUAUAAUUAAAACAGCCUGUCAUGAGGCAACUGUGAGUGGAACAUCUGGGAAUUUGAGAAGUAUCUGCAAAGUAUAGAAAAAUCAACAGAUUUGUGGACCCUGGUAAAGAAGUUCAGCCAAGUCUCAGUGAAAAAUGUUAAGAAGUUGAUGCAAGCUGCAUGCUCCUUGUUAAGAUGCAGGCUUUGCAUAUCACCAGGUCACUUAGAAUAUUCUAACAGUUACUCUGAAGAUGUGUCAUGAUUUGUGAGCCUUUGGAUCUGGGUAAAUAGAGGACAAAACUAAUUCUUUGAGGCUUUAACUUGGGCACUUGCCUUGAUUCCUUUUAUUAUUGGAAGUCAGAUACCCCCUCUCCAAAGUGAGCAGGCAGGUUUUAAACAGCUUAACUACUGACCAGUUAUAAGACUCGCUUUUCAGUCAUGGAUCCUGCAGAAAUCUGAGACCCACCCAUAUCCUAGCUUUUAACUGUCUUCGCUCCACCCUCAAAGAUGCUACUGGGCUUCCUGUGCAUCGCAUUGCUAAAGAGAACUGAUUUCCUAGCAUUCUUCCCUAGUAAAAUCUUUCCCAAUAGAACAGUAUGUUCCCUUAAACCCAAAUGAACAUCACGCUACUUUCUUUUACCUGUGGCAAAGCAAACAAAUUAAAAAAAAAAAAUCAUACACCCUUUUGCUUACCUAAUUUCAAGAACAAAACAAACAACAAAAAAAUGCUACUCCUAGUUCAGAUGUUGUGCCCUUCAUUUCUAAAGCCGAUGUUUUGCCCUCUUUGGAAAGACUGAGAACUGUGGCCUGAUUUCGUCCAUAUUCUAGACUCUUAAGCUUGUCAAAUUCCAGAAAUGGAAAAAACUCUGCAAGAGAGUCUUGCUUUCAAGGAGAAAGGAAAAUGGCUUUGAAAAUGAGACAGUCUUUGUGGGUUUUGUCGUUGGUUUUUGUUUGUUUACUUGGUUUUCUCAUGUCCAGCACGGAGGUCUCCAGUUCACAAGAGCUUCCUGGGAAGGAUAAUAAUCAUGUUUGUAGGAAUCUCAUUCCCAUCGACCUUUACCGAUGGAGAGCCAAUUGUAAUUCUUUUGCCCUAAGGACUAGGGACUCCUAAGUUGAGGGUUGUGAUCAGAGGUCCCAUCUCUUUACAGUGUCACUUCAAUCUGUUUGUGUUUCUGAGCCUGGUUCCUCCAAGACACAGGAAUGAAGUGGGGCCACAGAUUUAGAAUCCAUUUAAGUUUCCCUGUUGUGUGUCUGUGUUGACCCUGGGACAAGUGUGAGACAGGAAGAGUGUGGGGAGUCUGGGCUCGGUAGUAACUCUGGGAUAUUUCAAGGAUGGCUUUCUUUUUGACUGUGCUUGGGAGCAAAGUCAGAUGGGCAGCUGGGUGUGUGUUUAGAGCUCUACGAAUUGUCAAUAACACAUGCUUCUCUGUCCCAGGGGUCCUAGAGAGGGCAAAUUACUAAGCAUCUCUGUAGGAUGGAGAUGAUAGGAAUUCACUGAGACAAUGGCGUGAUAUAGCAGUGGCAUCCAAGAGCUCAGCACAGUGUCUGGCAUCUGGUGUGCAUGGGCACAUGUACUGACUAUGACUGUCGGUGUGUGUUGUUAUACAGUCCAGGAACUGGUAAGUGCCCUCACCAGCGAGCAUGGCAGGUAGCUUCACUCAGUGAGUAGCAAGGGCACUCAGCUCUGAGGAUCUCAAUUCAUACAGGUGAAAAUCCUUAAAGGACUCUAUGAUUUAAACUCUGGAGUCAAAGCUAGUGUGUGUGUCUGUCUUUGCUCCUGCUAAGACAUGGAAACAAGUAUUGGAACCUCCAGAGUGUUUAAAUGGCUAUUGAAAUUUAUAAUGGCCCUUCAAUUCUUACUAUAUGCUUAAUAGUGUGCUAAAUAAGUGCUCUUCUGUCUUUUAUUAGAGCUUCUCAGAAACCCUAAUAGGCAAGUAUUAUCUUGAUUUUGCAGAUGUGAAAGCUAAGACCAUGAACCAUGUGAGAUUCCAAACCAAAUAAGCUUGCUGCCAUGGUCUAGGGUGAGGGUGCUGUCCUGUGCAAAUGUUAAGUUGGAUAUCACACUGUAUAUUUGCUGAGUCUCUUUUCCUAUAGGUUUGCAGAGCAUGUCUGCAGUUUCUCGGUUGUUAUAGAUUUCCUACCUAACCGGGAUGAUGAUGCACAGAACUCUAAAGCCAGUAGUGUGGCAACAGAAUAGCACAGUAUAACUCAGUUGAGACAUGACUUCAAGACUCGAGACUUGGUAGAAUCCUUUUACUUGGCCAUCUGAGUAGAAAUAGGAGUAGCUUUAAGAAAAAGGCAGAUUCUCUAAAGGAAUUUGGAGAUAUGACAUCACUCCUGAGCAGAGCAUAUUAGAAGAAAGCAAACUGCCAUACAAUAAUUUUCAGUUUCCAAGGCAACCAAGUGGAGAACACAUCACAGGAGACAGGAAAUAUGGCUUGUUCAUAGAAUGAUGCUACUGUGACUUCAAAACUGAUCUCAAGUAUUCUAGAAUCUGCUGGGACAUUGGGCUGUUUCUCAACUUAUGUGUCUACUUGGAGAGAAAAGAAUGUCUUUGAACAAAAUGGCUAACUUUCACAAAACUGUCUUGCCUCUUUUAAACAUUACACUUGAUACGAGAAAUAUGGCUUAAGAACACAUGAUGUCUCAGAAGGCCCAUGCGCACACCAGACCGCUGUCUUAGUACUGUCACUGUUGUAAAGGCACAUGUUGGAACACAUCCAGUCCUGCUGACCUGUAGAUAAUUAUUUUUCUCUAAAUGAACUGUACAUUUAUCUUAAAUAAAAAUUUAUUUUUG